UGUCUAAUUCUAAGUAAGUCA
rnacentral:piRNA from 1 species